GAUGAACGCUGGCGGUAUGCUUAACACAUGCAAGUCGAACGGUCACUUCGGUGAUAGUGGCGGACGGGUGAGUAACGCGUGAGAAUCUGUCUUCAGGUCGGGGACAACAGUUAGAAAUGACUGCUAAUACCGGAUGUGCCUUUGGGUGAAAGAUUUAUUGCCUGAAAAAGAGCUCGCGUCAGAUUAGCUAGUAGGUGGUGUAAGAGACUACCUAGGCUCCGAUCUGUAGCUGGUCUGAGAGGACGAUCAGCCACACUGGAACUGAGACACGGUCCAGACUCCUACGGGAGGCAGCAGCGGGGAAUUUUCCGCAAUGGGCGAAAGCCUGACGGAGCAAUACCGCGUGAGGGACGAAGGCUUUUGGGUCGUAAACCUCUUUUCUCAAGGAAGAUGAUGACGGUACUUGAGGAAUAAGCAUCGGCUAACUCUGUG
rnacentral:rRNA from 1 species